CAGCACCUCAAGUGGUCAGGAGGAUUAUUGGGCCUAAAGCAUCCGUAGCCGGCUCUGUAAGUUUUCGGUUAAAUCUGUACGCUCAACGUACAGGCUGCCGGGAAUACUGCAGCGCUAGGGAGUGGGAGAGGUAGACGGUACUCGGUAGGAAGGGGUAAAAUCCUUUGAUCUAUUGAUGACCACCUGUGGCGAAGGCGGUCUACCAGAACACGUCCGACGGUGAGGGAUGAAAGCUGGGGGAGCAAACCGGAUUAGAUACCCGAGUAGUCC
rnacentral:rRNA from 1 species